rnacentral:rRNA from 1 species
UACGGGGGGUGCAAGCGUUGUUCGGAAUUAUUGGGCGUAAAGGGCGUGUAGGCGGCUGAGUAAGUCAGGUGUGAAAGGCCACGGCUUAACCGUGGUACUGCACAUGAAACUGCUCAGCUUGAGUGCAGGAGAGGAGAGUGGAAUUCCUGGUGUAGCGGUGAAAUGCGUAGAUAUCGGGAGGAACACCAGUGGCGAAGGCGGCUUCCUGGCCGGAUACUGACGCUCAAGGGCGAAAGCUGGGGGCACGAACCGG